GAGUUUGAUCCUGGCUCAGGAUGAACGCUGGCGGCGUGCUUAACACAUGCAAGUCGAACGGAAAUGAUACGCUGAUGCGAUUUCGGUCAAGUCAUGUAUCAUUUUAGUGGCGGACGGGUGAGUAACGCGUGGGUAACCUGCCUUACACUGGGGGAUAACACUUAGAAAUAGGUGCUAAUACCGCAUAAGCGCACGAGGCCGCAUGGUUUUGUGUGAAAAACUCCGGUGGUGUAAGAUGGACCCGCGUCUGAUUAGCUAGUUGGCGGGGUAACGGCCCACCAAGGCGACGAUCAGUAGCCGGCCUGAGAGGGUGGACGGCCACAUUGGGACUGAGACACGGCCCAAACUCCUACGGGAGGCAGCAGUGGGGGAUAUUGGACAAUGGGGGAAACCCUGAUCCAGCGACGCCGCGUGAGUGAAGAAGUAUUUCGGUAUGUAAAGCUCUGUCAGCAGGGAAGAAAGAAAUGACGGUACCUGACCAAGAAGCCCCGGCUAACUACGUGCCAGCAGCCGCGGUAAUACGUAGGGGGCAAGCGUUAUCCGGAAUUACUGGGUGUAAAGGGAGCGUAGACGGUAAUGUAAGUCUGGAGUGAAAGGCGGGGGCCCAACCCCCGGACUGCUCUGGAAACUAUGUUACUA
rnacentral:rRNA from 1 species